rnacentral:lncRNA from 1 species
ACUCCUUCCUGACACUCACGCCACCAUGUCCUCCCCAAAGUGCAUUUGCAUUUUAACAGCCAUCUUCCGUGAGCUGACUCUGUGGUUUUCAGUCAGUGGUUUCCAGUCGGCUAUUUGUCAUAAGUUCUGGAGGUUGGGAAGUCCAAAGUCGAGUGGCCGUAUCCGGUGAGAGCCCUCCUGCAGCAUCAUCCCAUGACGGAAGGUGUCCCAUGAUAACCAGAAGCAGCAGAGAAAACAUCUGAAGUGCUUCCUGGACACACCUGUUAGGAAGUUUCUGCAAGAACCCAGAGAUAAUGAUGCCAGGGUUUCAGCCCCAGCCCCAGGAAGAGAACGGCAGCAGGAAAAGUUAGAGAGGAGAGGGAGCAGGAGGUGGAGAGCUCGGCCCCUCCUUCGCUGCUGCCCUCUGGGUGACGCUCAGCGGAGGCGCCACGUAGCAGCUGCGAGAGCCCCGAGACAACCUCUGCACUGUUUAUGGGAUCGCAUUAGGGGAGCAGCGGCCCUGCAUGACCCCACAGGUGAGCAGGACACCUCAUCAUAGGGUAGGCACGUGAGCAGACUCACCCUCACACAGCUGCCUUCAGGGCUGCCCAGGUCAGGUGCUCAGAACACAAAAGAAAGUGAGACAAAGUCGCCACCCUGGAGUUUACGAGCUGGCGUGGGAGACAGGCUGGCACUGAGGAUGACAGUGGAGAGAGAUCGGGCUGGGAAGAACCGGAGGCGCUGGGGAAGCCGGGUCAGCAGGGAGACCCCAGCAGAGUGGGAGCCGGAGGACGGCGGCGACUGCAGCCCGACUGUUUCAGGUGGCGUCCUCGUCACGAGAGGAGCUUGAGCGGGUCGUGGCCUUCCUGGCAACCUGCCUACAGAGAAAACGAUUGCUGGGUGCAGAUGUCUCGAACAUUUAUUGCAUUCCACGUUGUCAGUCAAUAAAACAGCUUUGCGAGCGUAAUACUGACAAAAUCAAGUUCAGGCGGUAAGCCCCAGGGCUUCCAAGAAAAGUGGAUCGGGGGGCUUGCUCAGCUCUGGUAUCCAGGGGGGGCCACUGCCUGGUUCCCAGGCAAAGGAGUACAAACUGCCGGGAGAAACAAGGACCCUGCAGGAAGAAGGGACCUGCCCGACUUGUUCCCCCGCACCCACAUCAGGAAUUUUCCCAGAAAGCCAUCCACUUUGUUAGAGACAAAAUAAAGGUCAUUUGGAGAAAAACCUGCCAGCAGCUGCUGCUGCUUGAAAAUAGAAAAGAUUUUAAAAGUAGCAGUGUUGGGAGGCCAAGGCAGGCAGAUCACCUGAGGUCAGGAGUUCGAGACCAGCCUGGCCAACAUGGCGAAACCCCGUCUCUACUAAAAAUAGAAAAAUUAGCUGGGCAUGGUGGUGAGCACCUGUAAUCCCAGCUACUCGGGAGGCUGAGGCAGGAGAAUCACUUAAACCUGGGAGGCGAAGAUUGCAAUGAGCUGAGAUUGUGCCACUGCACUCCAGCCUGGGCAACAGAGCAGGACAUCGUCUCAAAAAAAAAAAAAAAAUGCAGCAGUGGUUUGAAAUCAUGCAUUUUUAUGUGUUAUCCUCAAACAUCUGAGGGAGAUAAGAAAGAAUAUACCACGGAUGAGAAUAUUUAUAAUUAUCAGAAAAAAAACUGCCUCCUAGGAACAAUCCUGUGAGCUCCAUCAUCAAAUCUGAUUCAGAAGCCUCCAAAUCCCCUACUUGCCCUGGCAGCUGCUACCCACCUCACAGCUGUCCUUUGCAGAUUACUACAAAUGUUCUCUUAAAUAUUCAUUUAUCCCCCAGCAUUGACAGGUGAGGAAUGAUGUUGCUUGGGCUAUUUCUGCCCCAGGUGGCCCCUGUAAAGCCGGGACCUUGGAUCCCCUCUCUCAUAUGAGCCUCCUAAGCGGGCUCCCAGCUCCUGGAUGGGGUCUUCUCAGGGCCUAGGGCCCCCUCAUCUGCCCAGAACAAACUUCCUCAUCCAGAUGUCACCAUUCACUUCCCCAGGUCCUCCUUCCCACCAGACAUGAGGAUUUUAACUUGAUCAUCUCUGCAAAGACCUUAUCUUCAAAUACAGUUACAUUCUGAAGUCCUGGGGGUUAGGGCUGCAACACCCGAAUUGGUGGAGACAAAAUCCAGCUCCUGACAAUACCGCGUAUGAUAGCUGCGUCUCUGCCUGCAGUACUGUUUUCCAGGGAAAGCAUCUUUGAGUGUAUUCAGAAAGCCUCUCUCUGGGGCCAGGCCUUGCAGAGAAUCCUUCAGAAACUGGACAACCCCACCCAAGGCAGUCAGUGGGGAGGACACAUUUGGUGCCUCAUUGGUCCCUGGAUCUGCCUCACAGUCCUCAAUGUUCCUCCUCGUUCCCUCUACUCUUUCUCCUCUUUGGUUGACCUUGAAGCUCAUUCCUGGUGAAGGCCCCGUGGGAGCAGUGCAAUGACAAGAGGAGCCUGUUUUCAAUAGCACCCUCACGCUCUCCAGGGGUCCAUUGGAGGCGCCUAUGACCUCCUGAUGCUGAGGAGCCUAGAGUGGGCAGCCCUCGGGCCCAGGCUCCACCUGGGUGAGGCCUGUUUUAUUAUCAAUACUCACCACAGUCAUUUGUGGGAGUGUAAUGCUCAUAUUCCCAUUUAAGAGAUGAAUAAACUGAGGCAAGGUGAAGUGACUCAGCUGAGGCCACACCACAGUUUAAUGGGGAAGCCAGGAUAAGAGCUGGCGGCUUCUAUGUCUGAUCUACACUCUGAUGGGAGGUCGUCAGAGAGCCAUGUAAACGGUGAGGAGGUGACAUGCUGGUCCCUUCCAUAAAAGCUGUUUUGCAAAAUUAAAACACACACACAGUAAAGAUCCAGAUUUAUGCAAGUGAGAGUGAGGGGCUGACUAUUUACCAGUCAACAGAUCUCCCCAAAUGGUUCUCUGCUUGGGGUUGAGAUGCUCCUGACCAGCAGGGCUUGGGGAGAGACAUUCUUGCUCCCCCUAGAGCUGGCUGACCCAUACCCAGGGGAUUCUGAGCACCAGGGGCUGGGAGCAGCAUGUACCACGUGUUUCCCAAGAGUUAGUCAUGUUUGCUCCUAAAACUUAUUGUAAUCGAGGAAUCUAAUUAAACAAUACACCAACUGAAGAAACAGUGCAAAAAGAAUGAGUGACUGUUUCUAUGAAAACUUAGAUGAACUACUUUGGAAAGAUUCAAUAAAAAGCAUGCCUAAAUACAUAUACUGGGGCCAGGAGCAGUGAUUCACACUUGUAACCCCAGUGCUUUGGGAGGCUGAGGUGGGAGGGUGGCUUGAGGCUAGGAGUUUGAAACCAGCCUAGGCAACAUAGCAAGACCCUGUCUCUACAAAAAAACAAAAAUUUUUCAACUGGUUGUGGCAGCACCUGCCUAUGGUCCCAGCUGCUCUGGAAGCUGAGGUGAGAGGAUCACUCGAGCCCAGGAGUUCAGGCUGCAGUGAGCCGCAAGUGUGCCACUGCACUCCACCCUGGGCAACAGAGCAAGACCCUGUCUCUAAAAAAAUAAAUAAAAUAUGUACAUCCAGAUACAGUAUUAUGUGUGGGCGAGACACCGGUAAAAGAUGGAAACAAUCAUAAAAGUCAGGCAGGAUUCCACCUAAGAUUGUCUUUAGCUCUCAAUCUACCUUGUUUUAAAAUUUUUUUAUGAGCCAUAAAAGACCUAAGACUAGUCUUUAUUGUACAACUUGAUGAAUUCUGAUCCUGUGGCCAUACAGUUCAAAAUAGAGCAUUCUAGCACUCAGAAAGCUCCCUAGUGCCCUCAUCAGUUGGUGCCUGUCAACCCCAAGGAUGUCAUAGUCAUUUGGACACCCCUGGCACAGUCAUUCCACUUAGAGACUCUGCCAGAAGUCCCAGAUCAUAAUCAGGAGUGAAAUUUACACAAGAAGGGGCCGGAAGCCCUAGUGAGUAGUGAACUCAACUCCAAAAUAACCCUACACUAAAAAUAAAACUGGAACGUACUUUUUAUGUUUGAAAUUUAAAUAAGAUAGAUGUAUUUUUGUUAAAUCGUUCCAACCUGUACAACUUUUCUAUUCAUCAGCCAACUAGCCAGAGAAAGGGGGUUUCUGCUGCUGUCAGAGUAUAAAAAUGAGCUGCAAUUUUCAAAAUUUGACCUCAUCUAACUUUCUCCAGCUAUGCCAUUCCUGGAGCAUCCUCAGUCCAGUGCCUGAUGCGUAAAACAUAAUAAAAAGGUGACCCCACCACACCAAACACUGGGGUGUCUGUAGCAGUGACCGCGUCUCACGGGGAUUUUGUCUGAAUGCCUGUUCCUCCACUCGCCUAAUCCAUGGAGGUCAGGGAACCACGCACCUCAACACACACAGUAGCUUCUUAAUAAAUGUUGGUCCAUGGAAGUCAAGUCAGCCCUUAAAGGGAAGGGUAGGAAACAGGUGUGCAGGGAGGGAGGAGUAAAGCUGCCCUGGGCCUGCCAGGCCUGGGGCCACCCCGCAGGCAACUCUGGAGCCAGACAGCCUCGGGGCACCCCAGGCUGAGGGAAGGAGCUGGGCACAGCCCUGUGUCCCCGUCUCUCAGCCAAUGGAGGAGGAGCUUGGUCAGUCCCUACAAAGGUUGCAGUGGAGACCCUGCACCAGGGUACCCACCUACCCAUGAAGGCACAGGAGGAACAUUCUGGAAAUGAGGAGGCCCUUGUGAAGCCACAGAGGUGUGGAACAGCAUGGCACAGCACCCCUGCAAUUCCCAUACCCUGUGAGGACCCCACAGUCCUCAUCUGUCCCUGGAUGUAGUGCAGUGGUUGUCCUCGGAGUCGCUGGGGUCUCUGCCUGCUGGCUCUGCCCUAGUCCCGAACUGGACGCCCUGGCUCACAGUCCCUCCCCACGGCACCCCCUCCUGCAUUCCUUGGCUCACCCAUGAGCCCCUCUUGGGAAUGGCUCCCCAACUCCACUGCUUCAGGAAGGAGCAGCUUAAUGCUUCCCGAAGCUUCUCCAGCCCCACCCCACUUACCCCCAUGAUGUGAGCGCUUGGACGCACCGUCCCAGUGACCUGCCUCCACGGUAAAAGAGGGCCUGAAUGGGGGUUCUUCAGUGCGGGGAUCAGGGGCUGAUUUCAGAAUCUAACGACUGUCAUUAUGCCGCAUACACAGAAAAAUGAACACGAGAGCUACAAUUUACAUAAAAAUCCCGGAUUUGGGGAGCCCCCAUAGAACCCCAAGACCAAAGACAGGUCUCUCAAUGGGAAAAUUUCAGGAAGCGACGCCAGGUGUCCUAAUCCUCUGAAGCCCAGAAUGUGUGUGCACCGGGGCGGGGCUGCCCCGGAGAAGGUUCAGGCGACCUUCGCGUGAGGACUCCAGGCCCCUCCGGAGAACAUUCCUGAGCCUGCACCAACUGCCCUCCGUUCGCUCCUCUCCAAAGGGUCUCAGAAACCCUCAAAAUAGUGUUAGGAAACCAUCUUACUAACGAAUGUCUGCCUCUUGCUUUCCACCGUAUUUAAAACUCUUCCUUAAGCUGAUAUGAAUUUUGUUAAAAGCACACGGAGAAUGUUUUCUCAUUGCCUCCCACUCUGAGCUAGGUAUUCCAUUCCCCCAAACACUCCUACAUUUAGUAAUGCGAAAAACAGUGAAAGAUCUCAAAGCCCAUAGAUGAAAGUUAAAUCAGUUCUGACAGACCCCGAUGUGUGAUGAAAUAUUAUGCAGCCAUUUAAAAUGAUGGAAUAAUACUUGAAAUAUAAAAAAGUUUAAAAUGCAAACCCCAGAAGCAUCUACAGUAUAUCCCCAAUUUUCUAACACACACGUGCACACACAGGCUUCUAAGAAAUGAUUAGAAGGAAAUACACCAAUGUAUUAAUAUUGGUUAUCUCUGGUAAGACUAAAAGUAAUUUUAAUUUUCUUUUCUUCUUUCCUGUAUUUUCCAUGGUAAGCAUACAUUGAUGUUAAUUUUUUGAUUGAAAAUUCUACUGGCUCCACGGCCUGUCUUGUGUAAUCACAGCUGAGCUCACUCAUCUUCUGGGCUUUGGCACCGUAGGGAGGAAGGCAGCCUUUCCCCAGUGUGCCCUUGGGCAAUCCAGAUCCACCCCGAGCCUGGGCCCUGCUGGGUACUGCCCAGGCGAUGCCAGGAGAGGGCUGAGUGGUGGCCGCAGCUGAGUGCAGACACAUGUGGUGCAGAGCACAGCAUGAUGCAGUGUGGGACGGUGGGCUUUGCAAACCCCAGGAAGGGACAGCGGCCAGGUGCUCCGCUCCAAGCCCAGUCCCCCAGGCCUCAGUGAGCACCCCCGGCUGUGACUUGGGCCAGCCCUCCAUUCACUCAGCCACUGUCUCUCUGAACAUGCCCUGCCCUCCUGCCGGGCUGGCUGGGCUCUAGGAGGGGGUGUCCUGUGCAGGAGGCACAUGUGAGCUCAAGGGCACACCAACCCCUCUCACUAGUCAUGAGUUGGGCCCAGUGCAAGCCCGCUCACUCACUGCUCACUCCCGCCAAGGUCAAGCUUCUGAACCCCUUCUUAGAGACAAGGAGACCUGGGCUUAGCCCUCGAGUCCACGUGGUCGCCAACAUGACAUGACGGAGCCAGGGCCCCCAGCCCUGCCCCAGCCUGGCCCCUCCUCCACACUGGCUUCUGUGCCUCCUGCAGGGCCAGCUUCUCAGCAGCGCCUCUCUCUGCAGGAAUUCACUCACUCGGAAGCUGGGCAGACUCAACCCAGAGCUUUGGCCUCCUGGACUUGGGCAUGCUCCUGUGUAAUGAGGAAGGGCCUCAUUUUAAACAACCAGAUCUUGUGAGAAAUCUUUCACGAGACAGUAGCAAGGGGAGGGUGCUAAACCAUUAGAAACUGCCCCGUGAUCCAAUCACCUCCCAC